rnacentral:lncRNA from 1 species
GGGAUAUGGUAAAAAGUGUCUAAAAUAUAAGAAGGGUAAGAAGUGUUUUAAACCAUUGGAUAUUUGAUCUAAUGGUUGAGAUCAAUAGGGGACCAAAUUAUAAAAUAUUUUCAUUAAUUUGGACUGAUUUGAAAUAUCUAGGGGCAAUAUAGUCUUUUAAACCCACUAGAAAUUAGGUAAUGCACAUGUAACUUCCCCCGUCUUUUUUAAACGUCUAUAACUUUUUAUACGUAACUUUA